AUUGAACGCUGGCGGCAGGCCUAACACAUGCAAGUCGAGCGAGCGGCGGACGGGUGAGUAAUGUCUGGGAAACUGCCGGAUGGAGGGGGAUAACUACUGGAAACGGUAGCUAAUACCGCAUACCAUCAGAUGUGCACAGAUGGGAUUAGCUAGUAGGUGGGGUAAUGGCUCACCUAGGCGACGAUCCCUAGCUGGGCUGAGAGGAUGACCAGCAACGCUGCAACUGGGACACGGUCCAGAUACCUACAGGAGGAAGCAGUGGGGAAUAGUGCACAAUGGGCGCAAGUCUGAUGCAGGCAUGCCGCGUGUGAGAGGAAGACCUUAGGAUUGUAAAGCACUUUCAGCGGGGAGGCGUUACCCGCAGAAGAAGCACCGGCUAACUCCGUGCCAGCCGCCGCGGUAAUUC
rnacentral:rRNA from 1 species